AUCCAACUAAUGAGUCCCAAAUAGGACAAAACGCGUUUCCUGAAU
rfam:Schistosoma mattheei strain Denwood, Zambia genome assembly, scaffold: SMTD_scaffold0004432